UACGUAGGGUGCAAGCGUUGUCCGGAAUUAUUGGGCGUAAAGAGCUCGUAGGCGGUCUGUCGCGUCGGCUGUGAAAACUCGGGGCUCAACCCCGAGCCUGCAGUCGAUACGGGCAGACUAGAGUGCUGUAGGGGAGACUGGAAUUCCUGGUGUAGCGGUGAAAUGCGUAGAUAUCUGGAGGAACACCGGUGGCGAAGGCGGCAUCCUGGACCGGUAUUGACACUGAGGCGCGAAAGCCAGGGGAGCAAACGGG
rnacentral:rRNA from 1 species